rnacentral:tRNA from 3 species
GGCCCGUUCGUCUAGGGGUCAGGACACAAGAUUUUCAUUCUUGGAACAGGGGUUCGAUUCCCCUACGGGCUACAA